rnacentral:sRNA from 1 species
AAACUUAAGUUGGGGAAUUAUUGGUGCUUAACGCAGAAAUUCAGCCUUACAUUUCAGAAAAAUAACAGAUGCCUAAAUGUCAGUGGCAAGGAGGGGAGAAGGCUAUUAUUGGUUUGAUUUUUGAAGUGAGUAUAUUGCUCCAUGUGACUGUCGGCGGGCUUUUGUCUCUGGAUUCGAUGGCUCUGCGGGCACAGCCAUCAUCACAGAAGAGCAUGCAGCCAUGUGGACUGACGGGCGCUACUUUCUCCAGGCUGCCAAGCAAAUGGACAGCAAUUGGACACUUAUGAAGAUGGGUCUGAAGGACACACCAACUCAGGAAGACUGGCUGGUGAGUGUGCUUCCUGAAGGAUCCAGGGUUGGUGUGGACCCCUUGAUCAUUCCUACAGAUUAUUGGAAGAAAAUGGCCAAAGUUCUGAGAAGUGCCGGCCACCACCUCAUUCCUGUCAAGGAGAACCUCGUUGACAAAAUCUGGACAGACCGU